rnacentral:rRNA from 1 species
UACGGAGGGGGCUAGCGUUGUUCGGAAUUACUGGGCGUAAAGCGCACGUAGGCGGCUUUGUAAGUUAGAGGUGAAAGCCCGGGGCUCAACUCCGGAAUUGCCUUUAAGACUGCAUCGCUCGAAUUGUGGAGAGGUAAGUGGAAUUCCGAGUGUAGAGGUGAAAUUCGUAGAUAUCGGGAGGAACACCAGUGGCGAAGGCGGCGACCUGGGCCAAUAUUGACGCUGAGGCGCGAAAGCGUGGGGAGCAAACAGG